GAAACAGUGCUGCCUGGAGGAGGGGCAGUGCCCAUCGGGCUGAGGGUAGGGGUGGAGGGCAUUCUACUGAGAUGGACACCAAAGAAAGACAAGGAAUGGGAAGAGGCGGGACCUGAGAUCUCCAAAGCUGAGGUGCAACAGUCCUUAAAUACAUCUGUGGAGUCCCCCAGACAUCUAGGGAGGCCCCUGCACAUCCGGGAGUCACAUUCAGGGAGUCCCUCCAACAUCCAGGGAGUCCUCCCACAUCAAGGAGGCCCUACACGUCAGAGAGUCCCUCACACGUCAGGGAGGCCCCCACACGCCAGGGACUCCCUCACAUGUCAGGGAGGCCCUCACCUGUCAGGGAGUCCUCCACCCGUCAGGGAGGCCCCCACCCGUCAGGGAGGCCCCCACACAUCUAGGGACUCCCCCACACGCCAGGGACUCCCUCACACGUCAGGGAGGCCCCCACACGUCAGGGAGGCCCCCACACAUCUAGGGACUCCCCCACAUGCCAGGGAGGCCCUCACACGUCAGGGAGGCCCCCACACGUCAGGGAGGCCCCAACACAUCUGGGAGGCCCCCACCCGUCAGGGAGGCCCCCACCCAUCAGGGAGGCCCCCACUCGUCAGGGAGGCCCUCACACAUCUAGGGAGGCCCCUACACUGGCAGAAGCUGUGAUUUUAUGGAAACAGAAGAAACUCUGGGUACUAAGUCUGGCAUAUCCUUAUUGGGAUGAAUGUACCACUUGUAGUUUUAGAACUAAAGGAUCCAGAAUUUGGCUCCCAUUUGUUCACUUUGCAGAUGAGAAAACCAAGGCCUAGAGACGUGCGGAGACUUGCCACAUGGUGGGGUGGGCUGGUCCAAGGCUCUAGUCCAAGUCUCUUGGCUCCCUACCCAGUGCUCUCUGUCCACUAGGGUUCCUUGGGGGCUGACAAAGGAAGAAGCGAGGGUUUGAUCCACAGUGACGGCAGCUAUGGCUCAAAGUGCUUCCAGCUCGGCCCUCGGAGGGCCCCUCAUGUGUCUGUGUAAUCUUCACCAGUAAUGCCAGCCUGGCCUUGAGCAGGGGCAGACUGUGCUGUUGCCCCAGCAAGGGUGUCCCCUCAGGAGAGGCAGCUUGGAGCCCGAGGAGACAGGGGCGUAGGCAGGGGUCCUUGCUCUAGCUCCCCUUGGCCCUGUGGCCUUGGGGAAGUUAGGGGACUGGUUCUUCCAGGUAUCAAUGACUACUAGUCAUAGGAGAUGGCCAUUGUCUUCACCAGUGAUGCUCUUGACCACUGUGGGUUGUGCGGGGUCUCACACAGGCCAGUAGUGAAGCCAAAAGUUAAGGUCCUUUGUGGGCUGUGGACGGCUGACCACCCCAGCCUUUCACGCGCAGGGAGGGUUAGAGCGCGUGAAGAGUCUCCAGGGUUUGGUGUUGCUGGAACGUGGUCAGUGUGUUGCUAGAGCUGACCGACAGCAGACUCCACCACAAAGCCUGGCUGCUCCACACUUGGCACUGCCCUCAGGUCGGGGGUCCCCCAGCUCCAGGAGGAUGCCCUGUUGCCAACCCAGUGCCGUCUGAAGUCAGCGCUAGUUUUCAUCUCCCAUCUUCCUGCUCUUUGGUGGUGAACCGUCUGGUCCUGGGGUUGCUGUGCGCUGUUGGGUCCGCCUCGCAGGGUGUGGGGUGGGGCAUGCUCCUCCA
rnacentral:lncRNA from 1 species